CACGUAGGGUGCGAGCGUUGUCCGGAAUUACUGGGCGUAAAGAGCUCGUAGGUGGUUUGUCACGUCGUCUGUGAAAUUCCGGGGCUUAACCUCGGGCGUGCAGGCGAUACGGGCAAUACUUGAGUGCUGUAGGGGAGACUGGAAUUCCUGGUGUAGCGGUGAAAUGCGCAGAUAUCAGGAGGAACACCAAUGGCGAAGGCAGGUCUCUGGGCAGUUACUGACGCUGAGAAGCGAAAGCAUGGGUAGCGAACAGGAUUAGA
rnacentral:rRNA from 1 species